AUCCCUGUGGCUCAGUUGGUAGAGCAUGGUGUUUGCAACACCAGGGUUGUGGGUUCGAUUCCCACGGGGGGCC
rfam:Salmo salar isolate Sally breed double haploid chromosome ssa05, whole genome shotgun sequence.